CACUGGGCUACAGACGUUCAGCAGUGACUCAAAAACAACUUGAAUUAAUGGAGAAGAACAUGAAGGGACAACGGAAGCAAAGAGGAAUGAAGAGGAAAAGGGAGCUGGACACGUCCUACGAGCCUGGAGGACAUUAGAUAAUCAUGUGUCCACCUACAUCCAGUCAUAGAUUGAUUGGGAUGGAUUGUUAUGAUUGGCCGGCCACCAGAGAACUUCAGGACAAAGGGAUCUUCAUGGAACUUCAGGAAUAAUGUCUAUAUAACCAGUUCUACUCUCAAUAAACGUAUAAAGGCA